rnacentral:rRNA from 1 species
AAGCGAAAGAGUGAUCUGGAGCGAAACCCAAAAAAUAAGUCUCAGUUCGGAUUGAAGGCUGAAAUUCGCCUUCAUGAAGCUGGAAUUGCUAGUAAUGGCAGGUCAGCAUACUGCCGUGAAUACGUUCCCGGGCCUUGUACACACCGCCCGUCACACCAUGAGAGUUGGGAAUACCCGAAGCCUGUGAGCUAACUUUUAAGAGGCAGCAGUCGAAGGUAGAAUCAAUGAUUGGGGUGAAGUCGUAACAAGGUAAC